rnacentral:rRNA from 1 species
AACGAACGCUGGCGGCAUGCCUAACACAUGCAAGUCGAACGAGACCUUCGGGUCUAGUGGCGCACGGGUGCGUAACGCGUGGGAAUCUACCCUCAAGUUCGCAAUAACUCAGAGAAAUUUGAGCUAAUACCGGCGCAUGACGUAAGUCCAAAGAUUUAACGCGUGAGGAUGAGCCCGAUUAGUCUUACGUAGUUGGUGAGGUAAAGGCUCACCACUCGGACGAUACUUAGCUGGUCUGUGAGGAUGAUCAGCCACACUGGUACUGAGACACGGCCCAGAAUACUACGGGAGGCAGCAGUGGGGAAUACUGGACAAUGGGCGAAAGCCUGAUCGAGCAAUGCCGCGUGAGUGAUGAAGGUCGUAGGGUUGUAAAGCUCUUUUACACGGGAUGAUAAUGACAGUACCGGGAGAAUAAGCUCCGGCUAACUCCGUG